GUCACGAAGACCCACCACUGCCGCCCGUCUCCCGUCAGGCAGAGAUCCAACCCCCUCUCUUUAUUUAUGUAAUCUUAUUGACAUUUUGUUAAAUUCUUAGCAUCUACUCAGUAUUUGUCUCGCCUGUAGGAUAAGGUAUCCAUUUGUGCUCACAUUAACUCACACUUUAAUUUGUAUUUUUGUAAGUGGUGAAAAAAAAUUGCAGCAGACAUGUGCGCGUUUUUCUUUUAAAAUUCACAAAAAUAUUGUUAUUAUAUUAACAUUAUUUUUAAUAGACAUUGUUAAAUAUAUGAUGCAACAAAACCCAAAACUGAAUAGGUUCCACGCUCCUCUGGAGCCAGUCAGUUAAACAAGGAGCUGCAGGUGCAUGUAAUUAAUGAAUUAAUUAGCUAGCUAAUAAAGCCCAGAGUUAGAAGAGCAUGCACUCAGAGCUCAUGGCGUCACAGGCAGGUCAGGAGUUGUGUCUGGCUUUUUUUUUCUUAAUCUAAUUUUCUUUCAGUAGUAUAUAUAAUGUGAUGUUAAUACUAAUUAUUGUGAUACUAAUAAUUACAGAUAUAUCAAAAGGUAGUGAUGGGUCCAACAAGCAAACAGAACUUACUGAAAUGCAGCACCAGAAUGACCUUAAAGCCCUGAAUGACAAGCUGGCUGUGAUGGAGGAGAAAAUGGCUUUGUGUAAUGCAGUUUUGGAUGAUCUGAGGUCAAUUCAGAGAAUUGUACAGGAAAAAGGCCUUUGUGAUUCAGCAUUUCAAGGACUGGACAAAUGAUCAUUUGUAACCUUCACAGCUGUAUCUGAAUGAAUAAUAAAUAAAACUGAUAUCUUGCA
rnacentral:lncRNA from 1 species